UACGGAGGGUGCGAGCGUUGUCCGGAAUCAUUGGGCGUAAAGCGCGCGUAGGUGGCCCCAUAAGUCCGCUGUGAAAGUCAAAGGCUCAACCUUUGAAAGCCGGUGGAUACUGUGGGACUAGAGUACGGAAGAGGCGAGUGGAAUUCCUGGUGUAGCGGUGGAAUUCGCAGAUAUCAGGAGGAACACCAAUAGCGAAGGCAGCUCGCUGGGACGUUACUGACACUGAGGCGCGAAAGCGUGGGGAGCGAACAGG
rnacentral:rRNA from 1 species